CCGGCUCAGGACGAACGCUGGCGGCGCGCCUAACACAUGCAAGUCGAACGAGUGAGAGAGAGCUUGCUUUCUCGAGCGAGUGGCGAACGGGUGAGUAACGCGUGAGGAACCUGCCUCAAAGAGGGGGACAACAGUUGGAAACGACUGCUAAUACCGCAUAAGCCCACGGCUCGGCAUCGAGCAGAGGGAAAAGGAGCAAUCCGCUUUGAGAUGGCCUCGCGUCCGAUUAGCUAGUUGGUGAGGUAACGGCCCACCAAGGCGACGAUCGGUAGCCGGACUGAGAGGUUGAACGGCCACAUUGGGACUGAGACACGGCCCAGACUCCUACGGGAGGCAGCAGUGGGGAAUAUUGCACAAUGGGGGAAACCCUGAUGCAGCGACGCCGCGUGGAGGAAGAAGGUCUUCGGAUUGUAAACUCCUGUUGUUGAGGAAGAUAAUGACGGUACUCAACAAGGAAGUGACGGCUAACUACGUGCCAGCAGCCGCGGUAAAACGUAGGUCACAAGCGUUGUCCGGAAUUACUGGGUGUAAAGGGAGCGCAGGCGGGAAGACAAGUUGGAAGUGAAAUCCAUGGGCUCAACCCAUGAACUGCUUUCAAAACUGUUUUUCUUGAGUAGUGCAGAGGUAGGCGGAAUUCCCGGUGUAGCGGUGGAAUGCGUAGAUAUCGGGAGGAAUACCAGUGGCGAAGGCGGCCUACUGGGCACCAACUGACGCUGAGGCUCGAAAGUGUGGGUAGCAAACAGGAUUAGAUACCCUGGUAGUCCACACCGUAAACGAUGAUUACUAGGUGUUGGAGGAUUGACCCCUUCAGUGCCGCAGUUAACACAAUAAGUAAUCCACCUGGGGAGUACGACCGCAAGGUUGAAACUCAAAGGAAUUGACGGGGGCCCGCACAAGCAGUGGAGUAUGUGGUUUAAUUCGACGCAACGCGAAGAACCUUACCAAGUCUUGACAUCCUGCGACGGUUCUGGAAACAGAACUUUCCUUCGGGACGCAGAGACAGGUGGUGCAUGGUUGUCGUCAGCUCGUGUCGUGAGAUGUUGGGUUAAGUCCCGCAACGAGCGCAACCCUUAUGGUCAGUUACUACGCAAGAGGACUCUGGCCAGACUGCCGUUGACAAAACGGAGGAAGGUGGGGAUGACGUCAAAUCAUCAUGCCCUUUAUGACUUGGGCUACACACGUACUACAAUGGCGUUAAACAAAGAGAAGCAAGACCGCGAGGUGGAGCAAAACUCAGAAACAACGUCCCAGUUCGGACUGCAGGCUGCAACUCGCCUGCACGAAGUCGGAAUUGCUAGUAAUCGUGGAUCAGCAUGCCACGGUGAAUACGUUCCCGGGCCUUGUACACACCGCC
rnacentral:rRNA from 1 species